rnacentral:rRNA from 1 species
GUGCCAGCAGCCGCGGUAAUACGUAGGUGGCAAGCGUUGUCCGGAUUUACUGGGCGUAAAGGGUGCGCAGGCGGAUUCUUAAGUCUGAUGUGAAAGCCCAGGGCUUAACUGUGGAGGUGCAUUGGAAACUGGAAGUCUAGAGUGCAGAAGAGGAAAGCGGAAUUCCAAGUGUAGCGGUGAAAUGCGUAGAGAUUUGGAGGAACACCAGUGGCGAAGGCGACUUUCUGGACUGAAACUGACGCUGAGGCCUGAAAGCUUGGGGAGCAAACAGGAUUAGAUACC